rnacentral:rRNA from 1 species
AUUGAACGCUGGCGGCAGGCCUAACACAUGCAAGUCGAACGAGUGGCGGACGGGUGAGUAAUGUCUGGGAAACUGCCUGAUGGAGGGGGAACACUACUGGAAACGGUAGCUAAUACCGCAUACCAUCAGAUGUGCCCAGAUGGGAUUAGCUAGUUGGGGGGGUAACGGCUCACCAAGGCGACGAUCCCUAGCGGGUCUGAGGGGAUGAACAGCCACACUGGAACUGAGACACGGCCCAGACUCCUACGGGAGGCAGCAGUGGGGAAUAUUGCACAAUGGGCGCAAGCCUGAUGAAGCAAUGCGGCGUGUAUGAAGAAGGCUUUCGGGUUGUAAAGUACUUUCAGCGGGGAGGCGUUACCCGCAGAAGAAGCACCGGCUAACUCCGUGCCAGCAGCCGCGGUAAUAC